UUGUCGUCAGCUCGUGUCGUGAGAUGUUGGGUUAAGUCCCGCAACGAGCGCAACCCCUAUUGUAUGUUGCUACCAUUAAGUUGAGGACUCAUACGAGACUGCCGGUGACAAACCGGAGGAAGGUGGGGAUGACGUCAAGUCAUCAUGCCCCUUAUGAUCUGGGCUACACACGUGCUACAAUGGGGCAUACAGAGGGUCGCGAAGCCGCGAGGUGGAGCCAAUCCCAAAAAGUGCCUCUCAGUUCGGAUUGCAGGCUGCAACUCGCCUGCAUGAAGUCGGAAUCGCUAGUAAUCGCAGGUCAGCAUACUGCGGUGAAUACGUUCCCGGGUCUU
rnacentral:rRNA from 2 species